rnacentral:rRNA from 1 species
UGGUAUGCACUGGCUUCGCUGAUUCCUCCUUUCUGAAGAACUGUAAUGCCAUUAAUUUGGUGUUGCAGGGAAACAGGACUGUUACUUUGAAAAAAUUAGAGUGUUUAAAGCAGGCUAAGGCUUGAAUACAUUAGCAUGGAAUAAUGAAAUAGGACGUUCGAUCCUAUUUUGUUGGUUUCUAGGAUUGACGUAAUGAUUAAUAGGGAUAGUUGGGGGCAUUAGUAUUCAAUUGUCAGAGGUGAAAUUCUUGGAUUUAUUGAAGACUAACUACUGCGAAAGCAUUUGCCAAGGAUGUUUUCAUUAAUCAAGAACGAAAGUUAGGGGAUCGAAGACGAUCAGAUACCGUCGUAGUCUUAACCAUAAACUAUGCCGACUAGGGAUCGGAUGAUGUUAAUUUUUUAAUGACUCAUUCGGCGCCUUACG